rnacentral:rRNA from 1 species
CGGAGGGUGCGAGCGUUGUCCGGAAUCAUUGGGCGUAAAGGGCGCGUAGGUGGCCCUGGUAAGCGUGCGGUGAAAGCUCGGGGCUCAACCCCGAGUCGGCCGUGCGAACUGCCGGGCUCGAGCACUGUAGAGGCAGGCGGAAUUCCGGGUGUAGCGGUGGAAUGCGUAGAGAUCCGGAAGAACACCGGUGGCGAAGGCGGCCUGCUGGGCAGUGGCUGACACUGAGGCGCGACAGCGUGGGGAGCAAACAGGAUUAGAUACCCUGGUAGUCCACGCCGUAAACGAUGGGCACUAGGCGCUUGGGGGAGCGACCCUCCGAGGGCCGGCGCUAACGCAUUAAGUGCCCCGCCUGGGGAGUACGGCCGCAAGGCUG